rnacentral:rRNA from 1 species
GACAGAGGGUGCAAACGUUGUUCGAAAUUACUGGGCGUAAAGCGCGUGUAGGCGGCUUGGCAAGUCGGGUGUGAAAGCCCUGGGCUCAAACCUAGGAAGUGCACUCGAAACUGCUUCGCUUGAGUGUCGGAGAGGAAAGCGGAAUUCUCGGUGUAGAGGUGAAAUUCGUAGAUAUCGGGAGGAACACCGGUGGCGAAGGCGGCGACCUGGGUAGAUACUGACGCUGAGGUGCGAAAGCGUGGGGAGCAAACAGG